GAUGAAGAACGUAGCGAAAUGCGAUAAGUAGUGUGAAUUGCAGAAUUCAGUGAAUCAUCGAAUCUUUGAACGCACAUUGCGCCCCUUGGUAUUCCAUGGGGCAUGCCUGUUCGAGCGUCAUUUGUACCUUCAAGCCUUGCUUGGUGUUGGGUGUUUGUCUCGCCUCUGCGCGCAGACUCGCCUCAAAACAAUUGGCAGCCGGCGUAUUGGUUUCGGAGCGCAGUACAUCUCGCGCUUUGCACUCAGAACGACGACGUCCAAAAGUACAUUUUUACACUCUUGACCUCGGAUCAGGUAGGGAUACCAGCUGAACUUAAGCAUAUCAAUAAGCGGAGGA
rnacentral:misc_RNA from 1 species